CCUACGGGGGGCUGCAGUGGGGAAUCUUCCGCAAUGGGCGAAAGCCUGACGGAGCAACGCCGCGUGAUCGAAUGAAGGCCUUCGGGUUGUAAAGAUCUGUUGACAGGGACGAAUAAGCAAUGCAAAUAGUUUUGUGUAUGACGGUACCUGUUUAGAAAGCACCGGCUAACUCCGUGCCAGCAGCCGCGGUAAUACGGAGGGUGCAAGCGUUGUCCGGAAUCAUUGGGCGUAAAGAGUUCGUAGGCGGCAUGUAAAGUCAGGUGUUAAAGGCGCAGGCUCAACCUGUGUAUGGCACUUGAUACUUGCAAGCUGGAAUGCGGUAGAGGUAAAGGGAAUGCCUGGUGUAGCGGUGAAAUGCUUAGAUAUCAGGAGGAACAUCGGUGGCGUAAGCGCUUUACUGGGCCGUAAUUGACGCUGAGGAACGAAAGCCAGGGUAGCAAAUGGGAUUAGAUACCCCAGUAGUC
rnacentral:rRNA from 1 species